rnacentral:rRNA from 1 species
UGGGGAAUUUUGCGCAAUGGGCUAACGCCUGACGCAGCAACGCCGCGUGGAGGAUGAAGGUCUUUGGAUUGUAAACUCCUGUCAGCGGGGAAAAAGCGAGGUGACCUCAUACGUCAUCGAGUUGAUUGUACCCGCAGAGGAAGCCCCGGCUAACUCUGUGCCAGCAGCCGCGGUAAUACAGAGGGGGCAAGCGUUAUUCGGAAUUAUUGGGCGUAAAGGGCGCGUAGGCGGCUUUGCAAGUGACGGGUGAAAUCCCUCGGCUUAACCGAGGAACUGCCUGUCAAACUGCAUGGCUUGAGACCGGGAGAGGUGAGUGGAAUUCCCAGUGUAGCGGUGAAAUGCGUAGAUAUUGGGAGGAACACCAGUGGCGAAGGCGGCUCACUGGACCGGUACUGACGCUGAUGCGCGAAAGCGUGGGGAGCAAACAGGAUUAGAUACCCCCGUAGUCC